AUUGAACGCUAGCGGCAUGCUUAACACAUGCAAGUCGAACGAGUGGCGGACGGGUGAGUCAUAUAUCGGAACGUGCCCUGUAGCGGGGGCUAACUACUCGAAAGAGUGGCUAAUACCGCUUACCAUUGGAUCGGCCGAGAUCGGAUUAGCUAGUUGGUGGGGUAAAGGCUCACCUAGGCAACGAUCCUUAGCUGGUAUGAGAGGAUGACCAGCCACACUGGGACUGAGACACGGCCCAGACUCCUACGGGAGGCAGCAGUGGGGAAUUUUGGACAAUGGGAGCAACCCUGAUGCAGCCAUCCCGCGUGUAUGAGAAGGCCUUCGGGUUGUAAAGUACUGUUGGCAGAGAAGCGGUAUCUGCAGAAUAAGCACCGGCUAACUACGUGCCAGCAGCCGCGGUAAUUC
rnacentral:rRNA from 1 species